GACGAACGCUGGCGGCGUGCUUAACACAUGCAAGUCGAACGGUAAGGCCCUUCGGGGUACACGAGUGGCGAACGGGUGAGUAACACGUGGGUGAUCUGCCCUGCACUUCGGGAUAAGCCUGGGAAACUGGGUCUAAUACCGGAUAGGACCCUGGGAUGCAUGUCCUGGGGUGGAAAGCUUUUGCGGUGUGGGAUGGGCCCGCGGCCUAUCAGCUUGUUGGUGGGGUGAUGGCCUACCAAGGCGACGACGGGUAGCCGGCCUGAGAGGGUGACCGGGCACACUGGGGAUGAGAUACGGCCCGGACUCCUACGGGGGGCAGGAGGGGGGAAUAUUGCACAGUGGGCGCAAGCCUGGUCCAGCGACGCCGCGUGAGGGAUGACGGCCUUCGGGUUGUAAACCUCUUUCAGCACCGACGAAGCGCAAGUGACGGUAGGUGCAGAAGAAGGACCGGCCAACUACGUGCCAGCCGCCGCCGUAA
rnacentral:rRNA from 1 species